GAGACGAGUAUAAAUAUCUCACAUCACGCGAAACCCAAACCCUAGCAACCAUCCUCCCGCCGAAGAAGAAGAACCAAUCACCGGAGAAGGGAGCCAAUCGCCAAAAAAGGUAAAAAUUCUUCUAUACGCUUGAAAUUUGAUUCUGAGCACUCCUAUGGCCAAAUUGGAGCAACAGGAACGGUAGGUGAGCCAAAAAUCGACGGCAAAGCCCGGUGGCACCGCCACAGGUAAAACUUGAAACCUCCUCUGAUGAGCCCCUUUUCGUUUCCCAUUUUGCGCAAUUUUUCCACCAUUGUGUUCACCAUUCUGUUUUAUACAGGUUGACCGAAGAAAAACACCCAGCUGCAAGGGUGAGCUAGUUGAGCCACCGCAAUGAAAAAUCUCACCACCGGUAGAUUUUUAUUUUUUGACUUUUUUCGGCCAACUGAGGCCUCCUAACGUACUUUUUCAUAUGGAUGGGUAUAAAAUCGACUGAAACUGGAUAAAGCUGGCUACUCACGGCUA
rnacentral:lncRNA from 1 species